rfam:Aspergillus tubingensis CBS 134.48 unplaced genomic scaffold ASPTTscaffold_3, whole genome shotgun sequence.
ACAUACGACCAUAGGGUGUGGAAAACAGGGCUUCCCGUCCGCUCAGCCGUACUUAAGCCACACGCCGGGAGGUUAGUAGUUGGGUGGGUGACCACCAGCGAAUCCCUUCUGUUAUAUGUU